rnacentral:rRNA from 1 species
ACGGAAGGCAGCAGUGGGGAAUAUUGGGCAAUGGGCGAACGCCUGACCCAGCAACGCCGCGUGAAGGAAGAAGGUCUUCGGAUUGUAAACUUCUUUUAUGAGGGACGAAGGACGUGACGGUACCUCAUGAAUAAGCCACGGCUAACUACGUGCCAGCAGCCGCGGUAAUACGUAGGUGGCGAGCGUUAUCCGGAUUUACUGGGUGUAAAGGGCGCGUAGGCGGGGAUGCAAGUCAGAUGUGAAAUCUAUUGGCUUAACCCAUAAACUGCAUUUGAAACUGUAUUUCUUGAGUGCUGGAGAGGUAGAUGGAAUUCCUUGUGUAGCGGUGAAAUGCGUAGAUAUAAGGAAGAACACCAGUGGCGAAGGCGAUCUACUGGACAGUAACUGACGCUGAGGCGCGAAAGCGUGGGGAGCAAACAGGAUUAGAUACCCUGGUA